CCGGGCACAGCGCGCGGAGCACAACCGACAUACAGCGCUGAAACCCCGGCUACUGUCGCUCCCGUCAAACUCCACGUCCACCUGUCCGACGACAUUGCAAACCUCUCCUAAAUGGCAUUUGUGCGAUGUGGAUGCAGUGUGAGACCUUUCAGCGCCUGACGAGAGGAAGGGUUACCCUCAUGAAAAUGUCAUGCUAGACUGAUCAUUAAUCCUCCACUAUCUAAAAAAGACGCUUGCUGACUUCAGCCAAUGUGGAGAAGACAUCAUAAAAUGCGCAGCGUUUUAAAAGCAAAGCCAGCAUGCUAAAAGAACAGUACCUGGAACAUGUCCGUGUCUUUGUCAUGGCUGUACUCCACCACCACCGUCUGGUUUCUGGACAGCGUGU